GUGCUCACUUGGGCAGCACAUACUCCAAAACUGGAAUGAUACACACAAGAUUAGCAUGGCCCCUGCUCAAGAAGGUGACUACUAGAGAGAGAUUCCCUGAGUUC